rnacentral:lncRNA from 1 species
CAGCUGAUCUCAGCAGUGAACAGCUAAAUUGGUCCUUGAGCCUUCAAGCCUCGGAGACCCAGGGGUUUGAAAAUAGAAUGACAACACCCAGAAAUUCAGUGAGUGGACCUUUCCCAACAGAGCCUACAAAAGGACCCCUCGCCAUGCAACCUGCUCAAAAAGUAAUCCCCAGAAGACCAUCUUCACUGGUGGGCCCCACACAAAGCUUCUUCAUGAGGGAAUCAAAGGCUUUGGGGGCUGUCCAGAUCAUGAAUGGCCUCUUCCACAUUUCCCUGGGGGGACUGCUGAUGAUCCCCACAGGAGUUUUUGCACCCAUCUGUUUGAGUGUAUGGUACCCUCUGUGGGGAGGCAUUAUGUACAUCAUUUCAGGAUCACUCCUGGCAGCUGCAGCAGAGAAAACCUCCAGGAAGAGUUUGGUCAAAGCGAAAGUGAUAAUGAGCUCUCUAAGCCUCUUUGCUGCCAUUUCUGGAAUAAUUCUUUCAAUCAUGGACAUACUUAACAUUACAGUUUCUCAUUUUUUAAAAAUGGAGAGACUGGAACUGAUUAAAACUCCCAAGCUAUAUGUUGAUAUCUACAACUGUGAGCCAUCCAAUUCCUCAGAGAAAAACUCCCCAUCUACACAGUACUGUAACAGCGUGCAGUCUGUGUUCUUGGUAAGUCUGAGAGCAGUGACUCCAGGGAGGGAAUGCGCUAUGCUCCAUAUGAACAUCAACUCCACAUCCAGGUACUCUGUGUCUGCUAUUUUUUUUUGUAUGUAGCUUUGGACCAGAACCCUCCUCAUAUACUGCCUCUGUUGACUUGAGAAACAAAUUGGUUGCCAUAGGCAACACACUUAGAACAGUGUCAUUUGUAAAAGAGAUUCUAUCUGUAACUUUAUCAUUUCUUCUGAGGGAUGCUCUUGUUGUGUGGUACUGGGUGGUCUAAUACUGUCUAUUUAGCCUAGACUAGCUUCACAUUCACAACAAUCCCGCUCCUAUUUCCUGAAUGCUGGACUUACUGGCACAGGCCACUACACCAAGCGUUAUGAGUUCAUCAUUCUUAAUAUCAUUGAUGAUAUUAAUAAUUACCAUUAUUAAUAAAACAU